rnacentral:rRNA from 1 species
AUUGAACGCUGGCGGCAUGCUUUACACAUGCAAGUCGAACGGUAACAGGCCUUCGGGUGCUGACGAGUGGCGAACGGGUGAGUAAUGCAUCGGAACGUACCCAGAGGUGGGGGAUAACGCAGCGAAAGCUGUGCUAAUACCGCAUGUGAUCUGAGGAUGAAAGCGGGGGACCGAGCAGCAAUGUUUGGCCUCGCGCCUUUGGAGCGGCCGAUGUCGGAUUAGCUAGUUGGUGGGGUAAAGGCCUACCAAGGCGACGAUCCGUAGCUGGUCUGAGAGGACGACCAGCCACACUGGGACUGAGACACGGCCCAGACUCCUACGGGAGGCAGCAGUGGGGAAUUUUGGACAAUGGGCGCAAGCCUGAUCCAGCAAUGCCGCGUGCGGGAAGAAGGGCUUCGGGUUGUAAACCGCUUUUGGCAGGAACGAAACGGUGUCCGCUAAUACCGGGCGCUAAUGACGGUACCUGCAGAAUAAGCACCGGCUAACUACGUG